CAACCUAUUAAAAAAUGAGAAAGCUUUCAAACGCAUACUGUUUCACGCUCAUGAAUCUCAAAUUCUUCCUCUUGCACCGACAACCUUCCUUCUUUCGGUUCACCGUCCUCAGUUAUCCAUAAACCGUCCGCCGCCCUCGUCUUUAUCAUGACCUUGGUGACCCUGUUUCAAUUUAUAGUGUUGUGUAAGCUUUGAAGAUUUAAGAUUGGGCUAUUGAGGUGGCUAGCCAAGAGGAAUUAAUGGAUGCACUGGAAGCUUGUUUAAUUGGAGUUUUUAUAUCUUUUCAAGCCUCUGCUUUUCAGACUAAUACACCAUGUAGUGUCUCAGAUUGAUGUAGCGGACAGAAGUUGAGCCUAUUGCUUCUUCUGCAGCUGGAACUCCAAGUGAGCCAAUGAACAUCAUGAUUGUCUUGCAACCUGUGCUCAAGAAGUCACUGGCAUAUGGUGUAAGUGUGGUUGAUUGUUCCUUUGUGAAAUUCUAUGGCUAUCACAUUUUAUUAGUCAAUUAUUACUUGGUUAGGCUUUGAAAUACUUAUCUAGAUCAUGGUUUAUUUCUUAGCUUUCUUUUGUUUUUAUCGUGCUAAUUAUUGUUGGCCUUUUCCUUGCAAUUGUGUAAGAUUGAUUCCAAGGGAAAAGCUUGGAAAAUGAUUGGUUGCUCCUGUGCGGUUGUCAAGGAAUGACCUUAAGAACCAAUAUUUUUAAAAUGUAGAGGCAGUUAAUGCGGCAGUUAAUCACAUAAGCUGAGUGGUGGCGUGGAAUCUUGGCGGGCUUCUAUCGAAGUGUAAAGGCUACUCAGAUGGGAUUAUCACUUAAUGUUGACAUGUCAUGAUAUCCACGGUGUUCAUAGAACCACUCCCCAUGAUUGACAUUGUAGCUCAAAUAUUAGGAGAAGAGUUUCACUUAAAGCCAUUGUCGGAUGCAGAUCGCAUCAAGAUUAAGAAAGCCUUAAGAGGUGUGAAAGUAAAAAUUACAAGGGCAUGUGAAUGUAGAAAUGACAGAGCCUCAACAAGAAGCAUCAUGUCAUGAUGUUUGGAAGUAUAUUUAUAGAAUCUUCAUGUGUAUACAAAAAGGAAAUUGGCAAAAAGGGAGAAGCUAGAAUAAAUGAAGUCUAUGGAUCCAGGCUCUUCUACGAUGGCAGCGUCAAAGGUUGCGUUAGCGGUUGUCUAGCUAAGAAAUUGGUGCAGUUGCUCAUUGUUUAUUGGAAGCGGCGAGAGGGAUUAAAAUCACGUUGAUUGUAACGUUUUUCUGAAACUAGCCAUCGGGUUGAAGAUAAUGGGUCAUCAAGAAGGAUUGAUUGUAUGGAAGAAAAUUGGUCAUCAAGAAUUUUUCUAUGUAUUUUGGGCAUUAUAAUGCUUAUUAUUAUAUCAUUGGAAUUUGUUAUUAUAACAUUAGAAUUUGAUAUUUUUUCGGUGUAUUGUACUACAUGAUUAUGAAACUAGUAUUUUUUGACAUUA